UGAUUGUUUACAUCAGCGGUGGUCAUCGGAAUUGGCUAGAACUUCAGCUCGCUCGUUGAAACGAAGGGAAGCAAAAUCUGCUGCCGCACCUGUUUUCGGAGCCGAAAUCGAAGGGUUUCGAAUGCGAAUUUCGAAUCGGUUCCUUCAGGAAACUCGUAGAGGACAUCGUAAACUAUAAGGCAGUUUUGAGUAUCUUCUUGCGGGACUGUUUUCGAUAUGUUGGGAUCAUAAUUUGGGCUCUGUGCCUUCA